GACGAACCGUGCGAACGUUGUUCGGAAUCACUGGGCUUAAAGGGCGCGUAGGCGGCCAGCACAAGUCAGUUGUGAAAUCUCCGGGCUUAACUCGGAAAGGUCAACUGAUACUGUGCGGCUAGAGUGCGGAAGGGGCAACUGGAAUUCUCGGUGUAGCGGUGAAAUGCGUAGAUAUCGAGAGGAACACCUGCGGCGAAGGCGGGUUGCUGGGCCGACACUGACGCUGAUGCGCGAAAGCCAGGGGAGCGAACGGG
rnacentral:rRNA from 1 species